ACUCAAAUGAAUUGACGGGGAACCGCACAAGCAGUGGAGCAUGUGGUUUAAUUCGAGACGAAGCGAAGCACCUCACCAGGGUUUGACAUUCUUCUGCAAGCGCACGGAAACGUGUGACCUUCGAGGGUGAAGAAACGGUGCUGCAUGGCUGUCGUCAGCUCGUAUCGUGAGACGUUGGCUUAAGUGCCACAACGAGCGCAACCCCUACUGUAUGUUAUAUUCUCAUACAGAACUGCCUGUUUAUCAAACGGGAGGAAGGCGGGGAUGACGUCAAGUCAGCACGGCCCUUAUGCCCUGGGCUACACACAUCCUACAAUGGCGAAUAACAACGGGCUGCAACACGGCGACGUGAAGCUAAUCCCUUAAAUUUCGCCUCAGUUCAGAUCGGAGUCUGCAACUCGACUCCGUGAAGUCGGAAUUGCUAGUAAUCGCGGAUCAGCAGGCCGCGGUGAAUACGUUCUCGGUUCUUGUACACACCGCCCGU
rnacentral:rRNA from 1 species